AUUGAACGCUGGCGGCAUGCCUUACACAUGCAAGUCGAACGGCAGCACGGGUGCUUGCCCCUGGUGGCGAGUGGCGAACGGGUGAGUAAUACAUCGGAACAUGUCCUGUAGUGGGGGAUAGCCCGGCGAAAGCCGGAUUAAUACCGCAUACGAUCUACGGAUGAAAGCGGGGGACCUUCGGGCCUCGCGCUAUAGGGUUGGCCGAUGGCUGAUUAGCUAGUUGGUGGGGUAAAGGCCUACCAAGGCGACGAUCAGUAGCUGGUCUGAGAGGACGACCAGCCACACUGGGACUGCGACACGGCCCAGACUCCUACGGGAGGCAGCAGUGGGGAAUUUUGGACAAUGGGCGAAAGCCUGAUCCAGCAAUGCCGCGUGUGUGAAGAAGGCCUUCGGGUUGUAAAGCACUUUUGUCCGGAAAGAAAUCCUUGGCCCUAAUACGGUCGGGGGAUGACGGUACCGGAAGAAUAAGCACCGGCUAACUACGUG
rnacentral:rRNA from 1 species